GGAAUUUGUUCUUGGUGGAGGAGGGACCGGGCCCUUUCGGCAGGCACCGGAGCGGGGCCUUCUUGGGGGCGGGGUCCCCCGGGGGCCCCAGACGCAGCAGCCACUCUCAAGUGAGACUCCUGGGUGUCCCGACUCCAUUUCCACCCAGCACGAGAACGGGUUCCUUCCUACGUCUGCGUUACCAAAUUGGGCUGCUAUGUCCUCUGGGAAGUGGAGGGGCUGUGGGUCCUGGGCUGGGUCCUGGGCUGCUGCAUGAACAGCAGCUGUGACCCGGGUCUCAGAGGCCGCAGGCCGAGGUGGGUGGAGUGCCCCAGGCACGCUCCCUCGGGCCCAGAAGCUGCCUGCCGUAGACCGAGCUAGGGCCUUCCCGGACUCCUGGGGGCCUGGCUGGGGGUCACUGGGACUCCCACACCGGGAAUCUGUCCUCUGACAGCUCUGGAGGCCACAGGUCCUGGAGCAAGGGGUUUGCGGCAGGGCCUGGUUCUCUGCAGGCUCAGCGGGGGACCUGCCCCUUCCAGCCGGGGGCUCUGGGGAGCCUGCAGACAUCGCACUCCAGCCCCAGCCUCGGUCCGCACAGGGUCUCCUGGUUGUGCGUCCACCCCCCUCUCCUUACAGAGACGCCAUCCAUCCUUGGAUCGGGGCCUGCGUGGGGUCACCCAUCUAGCCAGUUACGGCUGUGACGGUUCUGCUUGCGGGAGAGGCUGCGCUCGGGGCUGCCGGGCGGGUACAAACACAGGGAGCUCUCUCACUCUGGUGCCCGUGUGCCUCGAGCAGCUCGGGGCCUGGGGCUGUUCUUGGAGCAGCGUGAGCAGCGUCUGGCUGUGGACUCGGGCCGACCGGCCGGGAGGGGCAGCAAAGGGACGCUCCUUCUCCGACUGCCCAAAGCCGUGGGGAACAGGUUUUCACGGACAGCACCUGCCAGGCAGCAGAGGUUGGCGUAGCGAGAUCUGGUGUGUGGGUGAGCGCAGCGUGGCCUGGCCUCCGUGCUCCCUGCUGUGGGUCACGCCUCCCUUCCCCCACCCCCCACCCGGACCCUGCCUGGCUCAGAAGUCACCACUUGGACUCUCGUUCCAAAGCGGUGAUUUCCCAUGUCCUCUGUUACCUUUACUCGGUCAACACAGUAUGCGUGCUAUUUCCGUCAUUUCUUGACAAAAUGCAGCGUGUGGGUCACCGUCUGGGUCGCACUCACGGGCGGCCACGUUUCCCGUGGGAGCUCGCGGUGCUGCGUGGACCAGUGUGAGCGCGAUGCGCGUGUGGGGCGGGCGGAGUUCUGAGCUUUUACAGACGAAGGCAGACAGCGAGAGGGGCUGGUAUUUAUUCAAACUCCAUACAGUAAAGAACUCUGAGUUUUAAAUUUCACUUACAUCAGCAGAAAAAAAAAAAAAAAAAAAAGACCUGGAACGAAACAAGAA